rnacentral:rRNA from 1 species
AUUGAACGCUGGCGGAAUGCUUUACACAUGCAAGUCGAGCGGCAGCGCGGGGCAACCUGGCGGCGAGCGGCGAACGGGUGAGUAAUACAUCGGAACGUGCCCAGACGUGGGGGAUAACUACUCGAAAGAGUGGCUAAUACCGCAUACGAUCUGAGGAUGAAAGCGGGGGAUAGCAAGACCUCGCGCGUAUGGAGCGGCCGAUGGCAGAUUAGGUAGUUGGUGAGGUAAAGGCUUACCAAGCCUGCGAUCUGUAGCUGGUCUGAGAGGAUGAUCAGCCACACUGGGACUGAGACACGGCCCAGACUCCUACGGGAGGCAGCAGUGGGGAAUUUUGGACAAUGGGCGAAAGCCUGAUCCAGCCAUUCCGCGUGCAGGAUGAAGGCCCUCGGGUUGUAAACUGCUCUUGUACGGAACGAAAAAGCUACGGCUAAUACCUGGAGUCCAUGACGGUACCGUAAGAAUAAGCACCGGCUAACUACGUGCCAGCAGCCGCAGUAA